GAUGUGACGUGUCGCUAGCGAGGUAUAGAGUUCCUACGUCUUGUCACUGAAUUCAAGUCGAUUGGUAGGAACUUCAUACCGUGCUCUCGACGCCAAUCCGAU
rfam:Daphnia pulex DAPPTscaffold_15_Cont978, whole genome shotgun sequence.